AAAAAUAAGGAUAGACACUAGCAUCAGUUCAUUAAUAUUAUAGUUUGCUUUGAAGUACUUUCUUCUUUGUCAGUCAAUCCCUGUUUCUUGUUUAUAGCUUCCCCUAAUCAUCUGAGCCAUCGUUUCCUUGUCAAAGUUCUAUUACACUUUGUUCUGAUAUUUCUUCUUUUCUUUUUUUUCCCAUAAGUUUCUAACUGGAGGUCACCUUUCUAAUAUCUCUAUACUUUAGUUCCAUGAAUUAAUCUCCAAAAGGAUGUAAGCUACGUCCUUUUUGAUCAUCUGAUAUCUAAAGAGGCCAUAUGACCUUGUAUUCUCCUUGAAUUCUCAUCAAAAAAAUAAUUAGAAAUUUAAAGUCAUAUUUUCUACUCAGUUCAUGAUUUUCCACAGUCAUUGCAACUAUUUUAAAAGCAACACUUAGUUAUGGUGGAUCUAAACAAUAAAAACAUGUUUUAUGGGUGAAAUACUCACUAUGCCAAAAAUUGAAUGAUGUUUCUAAAGUGAUUUUAAUGAAAUCAUUUAAAAAUGACAAAAUAAUAAUUAUAUAACAUUUCACUAUUGAAAAACCCCUUCAUAGAGUACUGAAAAAUUGGUUUGGUGGUAUAGGUAGUAUAGGGUUGCCAGAUAAUUUGUUGUCCAAGUUGAGACAAUUUAAAUGUGAAAAGAAGAGUCUCACUAAUAAUUAUGUUGAAAUAACAGACAUAAAAUAAGAUUGUCUCAAGAAAGUAGGAUGUCUUCCUAAUCUUCAAUAUCUGAGAAGUAUGGACACUCUAGUGAAAAGACUUUUGUCAGAACAGUGUGGGAUAACUAUGUAAUCUUAUUUUAAGCCAAUGGGGUUUUAAAAACAAAUUCUGGUACUGAAAAUGAUUGAUAUAAUAUUUUUUCCAUUACCAUCAAAAUGAAAUCUACAAAUUUCCAAUUUAUAUAGAACUUUUCUGCAUCUGGAUAUCCAGAGAUAUCUGUAGAAUUGAGAAGUUUUUCUCAAAUAAUGGAAUCAAAUACAUUUCUUAAUUCUUGAAUAAAAUAGGAUUUGUUGUACAUUGUGAAAAUAACAUGAUGGGAUGGAGUAAUGUACUACAUUGCAUGUGUGAAGGAGAAAAUAUACAGAAUGAAUAUAUAAAUGAAUACUUUUAUGGCAAGACAAAACAUCAUAGCACAGCAUGUGAUGAAAAAUUUUAGCUAAAUUCAAAUGGAGAAAUAUGAUUGGAGACUUGUCCUUAUAGAAUAAGGGUCAUAUUUGAUUAGGUAUUCAAAAUUCAAAAGAAUGGCUAUUAGAGCAGUUGAUAACCAAGGGAAAAAUAAUUCAUAGUAUGGGAGAUUCUGCCCUGCCCAACAUUCCACCUGAGGUCAACACGUGCAUAAAAUGUGAGAUAUUAUUCUGCUCUUUUUUUUGGUGGGUUUCAGCUGUCAGGCACAUCUAAUAGUCUCUGUAUGUCAGAGGGUUGGAUGGUUGAAUCCCAUCUUGACCAUUUCCUAGUUGUGUGAGGUUGGAUAAUGUUAACCAUAUUCAAAGUUUUUCUCAAAUACUGACUUUAGGACCCAAUGCAUAGACAAUGGGACUUUACAUUCUUGUAUUAAUGCCAAGAAUAACUUAAUAUAUGAAAGAUUCAUGCAUGUAUAUAAAUACCUAAAACUACUGUAUUUCCUAUACAAUAACUAUAACUGGUGAGGAAACAUAAUGGAAAAAGUGUUGUACCCCACCAGUAGCAAAAACAGAGAUGAAAUUCUUAAGAAUAACUUAAAUAUGAAAGAGGCAUUUGAAUAAGUGACAGUGUUUUACUGCUAGAUGUAAAAGAAUACUUCAGUCAAUAGAUCCAAUAGUAUGUUCUUAAAUGAAUUAAUAUGACAGGUUGUCAAUUCCUACCAAGUCAACAUAUAGGUAUAAUAUAACUCCAAUCAAAUCCCAAUGAUUAUUUUUGGAAUAUGAUGCAAUUAUUUUAAAGCACAUCUAGAGCCCAAACAAGCAAUAAUAACUACAAUAUUUUGAGAAAAACAAAAACAAAAAAAAUCCAAAAAAAGGAGGGUGGCAGAGAGGAAUGAGUUUUCCCAGAAAGUAAAACACAAUAGGAAAUAACAAUAAAGUUAUAAAUUUUUUUCUACUGCUGGUAUAUCUAAUGGGACAGAAGAAUUAGGCCAGAAAUAAUUCAUAAACUAUAUAAUAUGGCGAUGCUAAUGAUAGCAUCACCAAAAAGAAAAAGAGGGACAGUUCUUAAAAAAAAAGAUGCAGGAUAUUUGUGUGUGGUGGGAGUGGGUGGAAAAAGGGAAGGUAAAUAAGCUGUUUUCCUGAGUGUGUUUUUCUAUAUAGAGUCUUCAAAUAUAAUUAUGCUACUGGUUUCUCUUUUAAGCCCUCUAUUUCUCCUCCUCAAGGUAGGAGGAGAUCCCUGACUAAUAAUUUAAAAGAGGAAAUAUGGCAACUGUGGCUCUGGAUCCUGCCCUCCCUUUUGGAUGUGCCUGCCUGCAGAGAAGCUGGGUGCUAUUCUGCCCUCUGCUCCAUGGUCCCUUAAAGAGACAGUUCCUGCCCCUGCCCCUGCCCCUGCCCCUGCCCCUCCUUAGGGUAUCUGAUGAGGGUCUAGCAAGACCUGGGACUGAAUGUGUGAGACAACUUAGUCCAGGGGUGAGGUAUAUUAACAGACUAUGUCAGCUGCUUAUCUAAAAUAAUAUAUCUGGAGUUCCCAUCGUGGCUCAGUGGUUAAUGAAUCUGACUAGGAUCCAUGAGGUUGCAGGUUCGAUCCCUGGCCUUGCUCAGUGGGUUAGGGAUCUGGCAUUGCCAUGAGCUGUGGUGUAGGUUGCAGAUGUGGCUCGGAUCCCUGCAUUGCUGUGGCUGUGGCUUAGGCCAGUGGCUACAGCUCUGAUUGAACCCCUAGCCUGGGAACCUCCAUAUACCGCAGGAGCAGCCCAAGAAAUGGGAAAAAGACAAAAAUAAAAUAAAAUAAAAUAAUAUAUUCUAUAAUUAACUUAAAUCAGAAAAUAAAGAAAGUGUCUGCCCAGAGAAAAAGUAACUUUAUUAUAACCACCUAUCUCUAUUGCAAAAGCAUCCAGAAUAAAAAGUAGAUCUCAUUAUGAAAUGAUGAAGUAUUUCUAGAUCAUAAAGCUAUAGAAAGAACGCUGAAGUCAAAGAAAAAUCACUAAUAUAUAAUUUGGAACAGCUAAAUUCUAUCAUUAACUUCAAUAUUUUAAGCUUCUUUGGUUCAUAUAAAAUUAUGUAGAGAUUUAUGCUGUAGAAAAUACAUAAAGUAGGUUGAGAUAGAAGAUUUUAAAAUAAAAAUUUUAAAGCACAAAUGCACAUAUACUGCCAGUGUCUUUUGCCAUACAGUCUUUUUAAACAGCACCAAAAAGAUUCAAUGGGGAGUUACCAUGUGGCUCAGUGUGUUAUGAACCUGACUAGUGUCCAUGAAGAUGCAGGUUCAAUCCCUGACCCCGCUCAGUGUGUUAAGGACCCAGCAUUGCCAUGAGCUAUGGGGUAGGUUGCAGAUGCCUCUUGGAUCUGAUGUUGCUGUGGCUGUAGCAUAGGUCAACAGCUGUAGCUCUGAUUGGACCCUUAGCCUGGGAA
rnacentral:lncRNA from 1 species